ensembl:miRNA
GACAGUGUGGUGCUGGAGGGCUCCACGACCGUGUCAGACACCUUGGGUGAGGGCACCACGCUGAAGGUGUUCAUAAUGCAGUCAGGAUACUCUUCUCAGAUCUUGCUGAUG